GUCUACAUCCAUACCACCCUAAAUGUACCAAAUCUCCUCUGAUCUUGGAAGCUAAGCAGGGUCAGGCCAGGUUAGUACUUGGAUUGGAGAUUUAAUGAGUGAAAUUAAGGCUAAAUGGGGAAG
rnacentral:rRNA from 1 species